rnacentral:rRNA from 1 species
AUUGAACGCUGGCGGCAGGCUUAACACAUGCAAGUCGAGCGGGGGGAGGUAGCUUGCUACCUAACCUAGCGGCGGACGGGUGAGUAAUGCUUAGGAAUCUGCCUAUUAGUGGGGGACAACAUUUCGAAAGGGAUGCUAAUACCGCAUACGCCCUAAGGGGGAAAGCAGGGGACCUUCGGACCUUGCGCUAAUAGAUGAGCCUAAGUCGGAUUAGCUAGUUGGUGGGGUAAAGGCCUACCAAGGCGACGAUCUGUAGCGGGUCUGAGAGGAGGAGCCGCCACACUGGGACUGAGACACGGCCCAGACUCCUACGGGAGGCAGCAGAGGGGAAUAUUGGACAAUGGGGGGAACCCUGAUCCAGCCAUGCCGCGUGUGUGAAGAAGGCCUUUUGGUUGUAAAGCACUUUAAGCGAGGAGGAGGCUACCGAGAUUAAUACUCUUGGAUAGUGGACGUUACUCGCAGAAUAAGCACCGGCUAACUCUGUGCCAGCCGCCGCAGUAAGAC